CGGGAAACCGGAGCUAAUACCGGAUAAUAUUUUGAACCGCAUGGUUCAAAAGUGAAAGACGGUCUUGCUGUCACUUAUAGAUGGAUCCGCGCUGCAUUAGCUAGUUGGUAAGGUAACGGCUUACCAGGCAACGAUGCAUAGCCGACCUGAGAGGGUGAUCGGCCACACUGGAACUGAGACACGGUCCAG
rnacentral:rRNA from 1 species